rnacentral:misc_RNA from 1 species
UAAUUUAAAUUUGUUUUCUGACUUGAAGGCAUACAGGUUUGGUUUGCUAUGAUAGAGAGUUCUUUUAUGGCGGUGAUGGCAUAUCCAGUUGUUCUCCAGGUGGAACAAUUCUUGGUAGCCCAGAUGAGGUGCUUGAUCUUGGAGACACAGAGGUCACCCAAGUUGUUUUUAUGGAUUUCUUCAGUGGAAUUGAAGGCCAACAUUUUAGGGUCUUUGGUCAGAUGGUAAGUCCCAUCAUCAACUCCAUAUCAGUGAGACUAUCUGGAGGGACAUCAGUAUCAGGCUCGGCAACAUCGUUAAGAGGCCCAGAAACGAUAUUUGAACCAAGAGAUACCCCUUCUUCACAGAUGGGUCACUGAGACAUCAGCCUGAUGGCUGGUGAGUACUGAUACAGCACAGUGUAGUAUUUAAAGUCACUGCAAAAUUAUCAAAUAAAUAGUCACUGCAAAAUUAAUCC